rnacentral:rRNA from 1 species
ACAGUGAUGGAAAGAUGAAAAGAACUUUGAAAAGAGAGUGAAAAAGUACGUGAAAUUGUUGAAAGGGAAGGGCAUUUGAUCAGACAUGGUGUUUUGCGCCCCUUGCCUCUCGUGGGCUUGGGACUCUCGCAGCUCACUGGGCCAGCAUCGGUUUUGGCGGCCGGAAAAAACCUAGGGAAUGUGGCUCUGCGCCUCGGUGUAGAGUGUUAUAGCCCUGGGGAAUACGGCCAGCCGGGACCGAGGACUGCGAUACUUGUUWUCUAGGAUGCUGGCAUAAUGGUUAUAUGCCG